rnacentral:sRNA from 1 species
AAAAAAAGAAAUGUUUGAACACUUUGUUCCUAUCUGGUAGCAGCUGCUUUGGACAGUUGUGGACCUUUCAUGAGCCAGAGCCUCUAAGGAGGAAGUGGGGCUUGAGGUUUGAAGCCGGGCCCUGCUUCUUCUCUCCCUGAGUGUAUUCCUAGUGUAUCCACCCCCGUCAUGCUCCUGCUGCCAUACUUCCCAUCAUGAGGGUCAUAUCCCUUCUCAAACCAUGAGCUAAGAUAAGCCUUCUUAAGAUCAUUCACCAGGGAUUUUGUCACAUCACACACACUUGACCUAUGGCCUCCUAAAUUGGAAGCAAGAUCUCCCAAAGGUGUGUGUUCUGCUCAAAGCACUACUCACAACAGCCCCGAGGUGGAAGCAGCACAAGAGCUCAUCGAUGGACGGUGAACGACGGUGAACGCAGUUUUUCUGUAUCCACUGUGGACUAACCUUUCCCAGACAGGAAAGACAUUCUGAUGCCCAGUGCAGCAAGGGCAAACCCUGAGAGCAUUGCACUAAGUUGAGUAAAACCCAUCUCUAGAGGACAAGCUCUCGUUUACAUCUAGAGUGGCCAGAUACAUAGGCAGAAUACUAAGUGCUGAUCACCUGGUGUGGCUGGGGGUGGGGAGUUGAAUUUCAAUCUGAGGCCCACUCUGGUAGCCAGUAGCCACAUUUGCCCAACAGCAUACUUACACUCGGGGCCACUGAGCUGUUUGUUCAAUAAUGGUUAAGACGACAAAUUUUAUGUAAUGUGUAAUUCAUCGUAGUUUUAAGAGACAUUGACACCCACUCGUCCCAGGGCAGAACACUUUGCUCCAGUCUGUUGAGGAGUGCCUGCCACCAAAUAGGUUGACUCCAAGGCCAUAUCCUAGAAGUCUGCAUGGCUACAGGGAGGAGCCAAGAUGAGUGCUUCUUGAACUGCUAAGCAAGGCCACAUGCUUCCUCUCCAGGUGCAUUGUCUUCCUCCAAGAAGCCCUCCUUCCUGGUGGAGUCCCUUGUUGAUCCCUACGGACAAAAAUGGAGGACUGGGGAGAGCCGAGCCCUCCUGAGCAGGGCAGGGUAAAAAUCAGUUUUGCUUGUAUUUCUGCAUAUCUAUUGUAUGUUUCUAGGUACUGGGAUGCAGUGACAUCCAAGGCGAGCCUGGAGAAAGCCAUACACAGGGCUGAGAAGAUUGAGAUGGACCUUCAGCACAUGCAGGCCGAGGGCCUUGGCAGGGUAUCUGUAGCAGACAGAGGUUUCUGGAACCCAUGAUGGAACGUGGAGAAGGAGGAAACUAAUGUCACUCCGAUAACUGCCCAGGUUGAAGUCCCCUCCAGUCACCAUUUCACCACUGUGGUGGCCUUUUCAUACACGGUAGGUAUCUUUGCAGGGCUAUGAAGCUAGCUGUGAGCUCACACUCACUUCCUGGAGAAGAGUAACAGUCCCUCCCUCUGUCACAGCCCGGCCAGCUCUCCAGUGAGCACAUCCUCUGAUGGGGUUUCCUAUGCUGAGAUUAAAUGGUGCUCUUUGAUCUGCUUUGGAAAGCUGCUCCGAGGACAGCUUCCUUUGGUGUCAGGAUACCUCCCAACACAUAUGCUUCCUUCAUCACUGGUCUUUUUAUGGAAUGGGCUUCAGCUUUAUUCUAACUAACCGUGGAUGUUUGCCUGAAGGUGGAUUCUUUUCCCUUUUAUUUUACUUGAGGGAUGGGAAGGGGUGAGAAAUAGCUGAUCCACCAUGAUUAUAGAAGAACUUGAGACUCACAGACAGGAGGAUGUGAGCCUCAGCUCUGAGUGACCCUGGGCUUUUGCUUUAUUUCUCUGAGCCUCCAUGCUCUGAAUUAGACCCAUAUUAGGCAUGACAAACAUUUAAGAAACAGCUUUUAAGACCUGUUCAUCAGAAGGAGCUGCUGAAUGUUCACAGGGAAAUCUCUGCCUCGACCACUCAAAAUCAUCUGGAUCCAACACAGAGGAACUUUCUGGUCUUCCAGGACACAUAGUGAGUGAGACCCCCCCCCCUCCCCCAGGCUGCGGACAGAGCACAUCCCCCUGUCAGUGAUGCUUUAGAGGUCAGGACAAUGGGUCAGACAUGGACAAAGGCUUUGUAUCAGGGAAUGAAGCAGACUCACUUCUUCCAUUGGAGCCAGGCAGGGAGAAGAGAGAAAGUCAGUGAAUCAACUGUAGUGUGGUUAGGGCUAGUGGAGGACUGCAGAGAGCUUCACUGAUUCUGCUUUUCUGGAAACUUCCCUCUCAGAGGAGAUGACAUUUGAGUUGGGGCUUAGAGCAUGAGCCAGGGGUCUCUAGAGAGACGGGGUUAUUAAAAACAUUGCUGGUGGUAGAAAGCAAAGCGGAGAGGCGUAGUGGAAGAACCGCUGUGGUCUGAAUUUAGACUGCCCCCUCAGUGCACGUGUUAAAGGCUUGAGCCUUAGCACACCGCUGUUGAGGAGUGGUAGAGCCAGUGGGGCCUGUGGGACCUUGAAGGAGAUUGGGUAGCACUUGUCUCCUUCUUUGACUUCCCAGUUACAGUGUGAUGAACAGGUUCCUCUAACCGCAGGACCCCAUUGUGAUGUGCAGUCUCUCCACAGGCGCCAAGAAAUGAAUAGGCAGUAUCCUCUGAAAAUGUGAGCCACAGCCAACACUCUCCUCCUCACAGAUUGUUCGUCCAAGGCAGAAGGAAGAUGAGGUUCAGCCCUUGACUGAUCCAUCCAAUAUGACUUUACCCCAGACUGGCCAGCCAGGUUCUAGCACCGUUUUCAUCGUCCCCUUCUCUGAAGAAGUAAGCCUAACUGUACUUUUUUUUU